ACUAAGCGUACACGGUGGAUGCCCUGGCAGUCAGAGGCGAUGAAGGACGUGCUAAUCUGCGAAAAGCGUCGGUAAGGUGAUAUGAACCGUUAUAACCGGCGAUGUCCGAAUGGGGAAACCCAGUGCAAUUCGUUGCACUAUCGUUAACUGAAUACAUAGGUUAACGAGGCGAACCGGGGGAACUGAAACAUCUAAGUACCCCGAGGAAAAGAAAUCAACCGAGAUUCCCCCAGUAGCGGCGAGCGAACGGGGAGCAGCCCAGAGUCUGAAUCAGCUUGUGUGUUAGUGGAACGGUCUGGAAAGUCCGACGGUACAGGGUGAUAGUCCCGUACACCAAAAUGCACAGGCUGUGAACUCGAAGAGUAGGGCGGGACACGUGGUAUCCUGUCUGAAUAUGGGGGGACCAUCCUCCAAGGCUAAAUACUCCUGACUGACCGAUAGUGAACCAGUACCGUGAGGGAAAGGCGAAAAGAACCCCGGCGAGGGGAGUGAAAAAGAACCUGAAACCGUGUACGUACAAGCAGUGGGAGCACCUUCGGGUGUGACUGCGUACCUUUUGUAUAAUGGGUCAGCGACUUAUAUUCUGUAGCAAGGUUAACCGUAUAGGGGAGCCGCAGGGAAACCGAGUCUUAACUGGGCGUUAAGUUGCAGGGUAUAGACCCGAAACCCGGUGAUCUAGCCAUGGGCAGGUUGAAGGUUGGGUAACACUAACUGGAGGACCGAACCGACUAAUGUUGAAAAAUUAGCGGAUGACUUGUGGCUGGGGGUGAAAGGCCAAUCAAACCGGGAGAUAGCUGGUUCUCCCCGAAAGCUAUUUAGGUAGCGCCUCGUGAACUCAUCUUCGGGGGUAGAGCACUGUUUCGGCUAGGGGGUCAUCCCGACUUACCAACCCGAUGCAAACUACGAAUACCGAAGAAUGUUAUCACGGGAGACACACGGCGGGUGCUAACGUCCGUCGUGAAGAGGGAAACAACCCAGACCGCCAGCUAAGGUCCCAAAGUCAUGGUUAAGUGGGAAACGAUGUGGGAAGGCACAGACAGCCAGGAUGUUGGCUUAGAAGCAGCCAUCAUUUAAAGAAAGCGUAAUAGCUCACUGGUCGAGUCGGCCUGCGCGGAAGAUGUAACGGGGCUAAACCAUGCACCGAAGCUGCGGCAGCGACACUAUGUGUUGUUGGGUAGGGGAGCGUUCUGUAAGCCUGCGAAGGUGACCUGUGAGGGUUGCUGGAGGUAUCAGAAGUGCGAAUGCUGACAUAAGUAACGAUAAAGCGGGUGAAAAGCCCGCUCGCCGGAAGACCAAGGGUUCCUGUCCAACGUUAAUCGGGGCAGGGUGAGUCGACCCCUAAGGCGAGGCCGAAAGGCGUAGUCGAUGGGAAACAGGUUAAUAUUCCUGUACUUGGUGUUACUGCGAAGGGGGGACGGAGAAGGCUAUGUUAGCCGGGCGACGGUUGUCCCGGUUUAAGCAUGUAGGCUGGUUAUCCAGGCAAAUCCGGAUAAUCAAGGCUGAGGUGUGAUGACGAGGCACUACGGUGCUGAAGUAACAAAUGCCCUGCUUCCAGGAAAAGCCUCUAAGCAUCAGGUAACAUCAAAUCGUACCCCAAACCGACACAGGUGGUCAGGUAGAGAAUACCAAGGCGCUUGAGAGAACUCGGGUGAAGGAACUAGGCAAAAUGGUGCCGUAACUUCGGGAGAAGGCACGCUGGUGUGUAGGUGAAGUCCCUGCGGAUGGAGCUGAGACCAGUCGAAGAUACCAGCUGGCUGCAACUGUUUAUUAAAAACACAGCACUGUGCAAACACGAAAGUGGACGUAUACGGUGUGACGCCUGCCCGGUGCCGGAAGGUUAAUUGAUGGGGUUAUCCGUAAGGAGAAGCUCUUGAUCGAAGCCCCGGUAAACGGCGGCCGUAACUAUAACGGUCCUAAGGUAGCGAAAUUCCUUGUCGGGUAAGUUCCGACCUGCACGAAUGGCGUAAUGAUGGCCAGGCUGUCUCCACCCGAGACUCAGUGAAAUUGAACUCGCUGUGAAGAUGCAGUGUACCCGCGGCAAGACGGAAAGACCCCGUGAACCUUUACUAUAGCUUGACACUGAACAUUGAGCCUUGAUGUGUAGGAUAGGUGGGAGGCUUUGAAGCGUGGACGCCAGUCUGCGUGGAGCCAACCUUGAAAUACCACCCUUUAAUGUUUGAUGUUCUAACGUUGGCCCCUGACCGGGGUUGCGGACAGUGUCUGGUGGGUAGUUUGACUGGGGCGGUCUCCUCCCAAAGCGUAACGGAGGAGCACGAAGGUUAGCUAAUCCUGGUCGGACAUCAGGAGGUUAGUGCAAUGGCAUAAGCUAGCUUGACUGCGAGCGUGACGGCGCGAGCAGGUGCGAAAGCAGGUCAUAGUGAUCCGGUGGUUCUGAAUGGAAGGGCCAUCGCUCAACGGAUAAAAGGUACUCCGGGGAUAACAGGCUGAUACCGCCCAAGAGUUCAUAUCGACGGCGGUGUUUGGCACCUCGAUGUCGGCUCAUCACAUCCUGGGGCUGAAGUAGGUCCCAAGGGUAUGGCUGUUCGCCAUUUAAAGUGGUACGCGAGCUGGGUUUAGAACGUCGUGAGACAGUUCGGUCCCUAUCUGCCGUGGGCGCUGGAGAAUUGAGGGGGGCUGCUCCUAGUACGAGAGGACCGGAGUGGACGCAUCACUGGUGUUCGGGUUGUCAUGCCAAUGGCACUGCCCGGUAGCUAAAUGCGGAAGAGAUAAGUGCUGAAAGCAUCUAAGCACGAAACUUGCCCCGAGAUGAGUUCUCCCUGAGACUUUAAGUCUCCUGAAGGAACGUUAAAGACGAUGACGUUGAUAGGCCGGGUGUGUAAGCGCAGCGAUGCGUUGAGCUAACCGGUACUAAUGAACCGUGAGGCUUAACC
rnacentral:rRNA from 1 species